AUGCGGUGGUGGUGGUGGCAGCUCUGGAUCGUGGCCCUCUUUCCCCUGCCAGCCCUACAAGCCGAGGAAGCCAGCGAUCCCUCCAAAGGUGGCCCUAAAAGACAUCUCAACCAGACGGGAGAUGGGGCCCUUCCCACGACGACAGCAUCGUGGGGGAAUCGGGCCAGCAGGACGUGGCCAACCCGAAAGACAGGCGAUGGGUGGGCGACGGAAACCACGUGGCUUUAUGCCCCCGAGGAGAGCAGCAGCCCCAGCACGGAAAAUAUAACCAGAAGGCUGCUCCGACCGACCAUCGCCGUUUCCUCGGUGAAUGGGACCUGCAACAUUACCUUGCACUGCGCCGUGACAGGUGGAGGAGGAGGCGGCGACGUGAACUUCACCUGGUUCCGCGGGGAGCGGGCCGAGGCGGUCCUCUCCUCGGAGGCCACCCUGCGGAUCACCCAGAGGCCUCCGGACGGGUCGCUGGAUUACACCUGCGCCGUCCGGACCAAGGAGAGCCAGAGCGCCAGCACAAUUUCUCUGGCGGAUCGCUGCCACGAGACUCCAGGCUUCUCGGCUGGCAGUUACGUGAAAUACUUAAUCCCGCUCGUGGUCGCGCUUGUCAUUUUGCUCAUCCUGUUCGGCAUGUACCGACGGAAAAAAGGACAAAUAGGGCGCCACAGUGGGACCGUUUCCAUCAAUGAACCCUCAGACUCCGAUCAGGAGGGCUACGUGGCUGCGGCGCACAGGAGCUUCCCCCAGGAGGCUUUCACGCCAGUCCCCGAAGAGACCCUACAAAUCACGAAAGCCUUAACCAGCUGCAGAGACAUGGAAAUCCUAGAGGCGCCGGAUCAACCCCCGAGCCAGGAAUAAAUCUCGCUUCCCGGAUCAGGUCCUCUCGGGUUUCUGGAUCACGAAGAGAUCUCCGUUGCCGGAUGGGUGCGAGUUCUGAUCCAACACCUCCAAAAAUGUGGUUAGGGGGAAAAAAGUGCACCCACAUCUUAGGGGGAAAACCCUCAUGUCUCCAAUCCAUUCCAAGCUCCGAAAGGUGCCACAAAAAUCGACCCUUCCCUAAACCACGUUUUCUUCAUGUGGUGCAGCAGAACACUUUAAAAAUGGAUCUUCAAGCAAAACAGGCUAUAGCUGUAGCAGGGAGGGCAAAUGGGGUGAAUCAAAUAAAACCAAUUAUUUAAAAAUAAUAUAAAGAUGA
rnacentral:lncRNA from 1 species